GACGAACGCUGGCGGCGUGCUUAACACAUGCAAGUCGAACGGGCCUUGUCCCCUUUUUUUUGGGGGUGGGGUUAGUGGCGAACGGGUGAGUAACACGUGAGUAACCUGCCCCUCACUUCUGGAUAACCGCUUGAAGGGGUGGCUAAUACGGGGUGUUCUGGCCUGCUCGCAUGGGUGGGUUUGGAAAGAUUCGACCGGUUUUGGUUGUUUUGGUGGGGGAUGGGCUCGCGGCCUAUCAGCUUGUUGGUGGGGUGAUGGCCUGCCAAGGCUUUGACGGGUAGCCGGCCUGAGAGGGUGGGCGGUCACACUGGGACUGAGACACGGCCCAGACUCCUACGGGAGGCAGCAGUGGGGAAUAUUGCACAAUGGGCGCAAGCCUGAUGCAGCGACGCCGCGUGAGGGAUGGAGGCCUUCGGGUUGUGAACCUCUUUCGCCAGUGAAGAAGGUCCUGCUCUUUGUGGUGGGGUUGACGGUAGCUGGGUUAAUGAAGCGCCGGCUAACUACGUG
rnacentral:rRNA from 1 species